GCGAGUCAAUGAGUAUACACUAAACUUAAAGGCGAAACAAAAGUGAAGGCCCUUCUUUGUGAGUGGCUGAGGGAAGAUGUGAUGACUCGCUCCCUCCGGCUUGUAAAAGUCGGAUAGCAGUCACUCCGCAUUCCCGGGGCGUUCAACUCUCAUUGCGAGAGUGGGCGCACCCAGAGCGUACACGYUGAUACCCGAAAGAUGGUGAACUAUGCCUGGCCAGGACGAAGCCAGGGGAAACCCUGGUGGAGGUCCGAAGCGAUUCUGACGUGCAAAUCGAUCGUCGGAGCUGGGUUUAGGGGCGAAAGACCAAUCGAACCAUCUAGUAGCUGGGUUCCCUCUGAAGUUUCCCUCAGGAUAGCUUGCUUUCAGAGAAAAAUAUUGAGUCUCAUCCGGUAGAGCGAAUGAUUAGAGGCCUUGGGGUCGGAAUGACCUCAACCUAUUCUCAAACUCCAAAUAAAUGAGAUUUCCGGCUUGCUUGUGAAAUGAAGCCGCUGAAAUUGGAUCUAGAAAGUCAAGUGGGCCAAUACUGGUAAGCAGAACUGGCGC
rnacentral:rRNA from 1 species